rnacentral:rRNA from 1 species
GCGGCAAGACGGAAAGACCCCGUGAACCUUUACUAUAGCUUGACACUGAACAUUGAGCCUUGAUGUGUAGGAUAGGUGGGAGGCUUUGAAGUGUGGACGCCAGUCUGCAUGGAGCCGACCUUGAAAUACCACCCUUUAAUGUUUGAUGUUCUAACGUGGACCCGUUACCCGGGUUGCGGACAGUGUCUGGUGGGUAGUUUGACUGGGGCGGUCUCCUCCUAAAGAGUAACGGAGGAGCACGAAGGUUGGCUAAUCCUGGUCGGACAUCAGGAGGUUAGUGCAAUGGCAUAAGCCAGCUUGACUGCGAGCGUGACGGCGCGAGCAGGUGCGAAAGCAGGUCAUAGUGAUCCGGUGGUUCUGAAUGGAAGGGCCAUCGCUCAACGGAUAAAAGGUACUCCGGGGAUAACAGGCUGAUACCGCCCAAGAGUUCAUAUCGACGGCGGUGUUUGGCACCUCGAUGUCGGCUCAUCACAUCCUGGGGCUGAAGUAGGUCCCAAGGGUAUGGCUGUUCGCCAUUUAAAGUGGUACGCGAGCUGGGUUUAGAACGUCGUGAGACAGUUCGGUCCCUAUCUGCCGUGGGCGCUGGAGAACUGAGGGGGGCUGCUCCUAGUACGAGAGGACCGGAGUGGACGCAUCACUGGUGUUCGGGUUGUCAUGCCAAUGGCACUGCCCGGUAGCUAAAUGCGGAAGAGAUAAGUGCUGAAAGCAUCUAAGCACGAAACUUGCCCCGAGAUGAGUUCUCCCUGAGACUUAGAGUCUCCUGAAGGAACGUUGAAGACGACGACGUUGAUAGGCCGGGUGUGUAAGCGCAGCGAUGCGUUGAGCUAACCGGUACUAAUGAACCGUGAGGCUUAACCUUACA